CCAUCUCUCCUCUUGAUGCUGCCCUCCAACCUCCACCCGAGAUCCCAGGGCGCGCUAGGUCACCGCUCCGGCUCGCCGGCCGGGAGGUGCGUGCAGGCUACAUCAUGGAUUGGGAGAGCCGCAUGUCAUCCUCUCCUCAUGGAUCUUCGUCGGCUCCGGCUCCGUCCCUGGCCUCCAAGGCGGAUACACGGUGGUGGCCUCCCCGUGGUCCAAGUCUUCCCUAGCUUCGGCCCUAGCAGCAGGUCCCCUCCACCUGCCGCACGGCCGUGGUUCCUGCCUCGCGACUUCAGUUUCAAGUUGUUCAUUGCGAAGGUGUUGCGUGCAGGUCUGUGGUGAGGACACAAAUUUGGGGUCCAGCUCCUUGCGUGAAUGUGCAAGGAAUUUAGAACCUGCAUCUUUAAUAUAACAUGCUUACUGAAGCUGAACCUGAGCUGCUGCUUAAUUAUUGAACCUGGUGAAAACGAAGCCACUCAGACAGAGCUGCAGUGUUGUGGCUAUUUGAGAUUCAUGGGGUUCAGGAGGAUAUGUGAGAAGGAAAAGGAUUCUG